rnacentral:rRNA from 1 species
GGUAGUCCACGCCGUAAACGAUGUCGACUUGGAGGUUGUGCCCUUGAGGCGUGGCUUCCGGAGCUAACGCGUUAAGUCGACCGCCUGGGGAGUACGGCCGCAAGGUUAAAACUCAAAUGAAUUGACGGGGGCCCGCACAAGCGGUGGAGCAUGUGGUUUAAUUCGAUGCAACGCGAAGAACCUUACCUACUCUUGACAUCCAGAGAACUUUCCAGAGAUGGAUUGGUGCCUUCGGGAACUCUGAGACAGGUGCUGCAUGGCUGUCGUCAGCUCGUGUUGUGAAAUGUUGGGUUAAGUCCCGCAACGCGCGCAACCCUUAUCCUUUGUUGCCAGCGGUUAGGCCGGGAACUCAAAGGAGACUGCCAGUGAUAAACUGGAGGAAGGUGGGGAUGACGUCAAGUCAUCAUGGCCCUUACGAGUAGGGCUACACACGUGCUACAAUGGCGCAUACAAAGAGAAGCGACCUCGCGAGAGCAAGCGGACCUCAUAAAGUGCGUCGUAGUCCGGAUUGGAGUCUGCAACUCGACUCCAUGAAGUCGGAAUCGCUAGUAAUCGUAGAUCAGAAUGCUACGGUGAAUACGUU